rnacentral:rRNA from 1 species
AACGUAGGAGACAAACGUUAUCCGGAGUUACUGGGCGUAAAGGGCGCGUAGGUGGCGUGAUAAGGGUGUGGUGAAAGCCCGGGGCUCAACCCCGGGUCUGCCAUGCCGACUGUCAGGCUCGAGUGCUGUAGGGGCAGGCGGAAUUCCUGGUGUAGCGGUGAAAUGCGUAGAGAUCAGGAAGAACAUCGGUGGCGAAGGCGCUCUGCUGGACCAUAACUGACACUCAGGGACGAAAGCUAGGGGAGCGAAUGGG